rnacentral:rRNA from 1 species
UAUACGACUCACUAUAGGGCGAAUUGGCCCGACGUCGCAUGCUCCCGGCCGCCAUGGCGGCCGCGGGAAUUCGAUUAGAGUUUGAUCCUGGCUCAGAAUGAACGCUGGCGGCGCGCCUAACACAUGCAAGUCGAGCGAGGCCGCGGGGCAACCCGCGAGUCGAGCGGCGAACGGGUGAGUAACGCGUGGGUAACCUACCCUGGAGUGGGGGAUAGCUUCGCGAAAGUGGAGGUAAUACCGCAUACGCCCACCGGGCCACAAGGCCUGGUGUGGAAAGGCUGGGAUCUUCGGACCAGCCGCUCCUGGAUGGGCCCGCGUUCGAUUAGCUAGUUGGUAGGGUAACGGCCUACCAAGGCUACGAUCGAUAGCCGGCCUGAGAGGGUGAUCGGCCACAUUGGGACUGAGACACGGCCCAGACUCCUACGGGAGGCAGCAGKGGGGAAUAUUGGGCAAKGGGSGAAAGCCUGACCCAGSGACGCCGCGKGGGGGAKGAAGGCCUUCGGGUKGUAAACCUCUGUCAGGGGAGACGAAAGUCUCGCGGUGAAUAGCCGCGAGAUCUGACGGACCCCCAAAGGAAG